UACAGAGGUCUCAAGCGUUGUUCGGAUUCAUUGGGCGUAAAGGGUGCGUAGGCGGCGCGGUAAGUCGGGUGUGAAAUCUCGGAGCUUAACUCCGAAACUGCAUUCGAUACUGCCGUGCUUGAGGACUGGAGAGGAGACUGGAAUUUACGGUGUAGCGGUGAAAUGCGUAGAUAUCGUAAGGAAGACCAGUGGCGAAGGCGGGUCUCUGGGCCGUAACUGACGCUGAGGGACGAAAGCUAGGGGAGCGAAUGGG
rnacentral:rRNA from 1 species